GGGGGAGGAGGACUCAGCGGUGCUGGCGCUGCCACCGUCGCGCCCACGCUGCUCCAGAGCCGCUUCGUGAUCUGGGCUGCGGGGGAGUUUCAGUA
rnacentral:ribozyme from 1 species